AUUGAACGCUGGCGGCAGGCCUAACACAUGCAAGUCGAGCGGAUGAAGGGAGCUUGCUCCUGGAUUCAGCGGCGGACGGGUGAGUAAUGCCUAGGAAUCUGCCUGGUAGUGGGGGAUAACGUCCGGAAACGGGCGCUAAUACCACAUACGUCCUGAGGGAGAAAGUGGGGGAUCUUCGGACCUCACGCUAUCAGAUGAGCCUAGGUCGGAUUAGCUAGUUGGUGGGGUAAAGGCCUACCAAGGCGACGAUCCGUAACUGGUCUGAGAGGAUGAUCAGUCACACUGGAACUGAGACACGGUCCAGACUCCUACGGGAGGCAGCAGUGGGGAAUAGUGGACAAUGGGCGAAAGCCUGAUCCAGCCAUGCCGCGUGUGAAGAAGGUCUUCGGAUUGUAAAGCACUUUAAGUUGGGAGGAAGGGCAGUAAGUUAAUACCUUGCUGUUUUGACGUUACCAACAGAAUAAGCACCGGCUAACUUCGUG
rnacentral:rRNA from 1 species